CGAUAUGAUGUGGGCGCUUUCCGAACACUUCCCCCGCGCAGUUCAACCGCCAUGGCAGUGGCCACACCGAAGAGCUUGGAUUCGUGUCCCAUUCAUCGCCUUCUUCCUUAAAUUCGUUCUCAAUCCUCGGCCAACCGACGAGAGAAUGCGAGGCAGGAUGAGUUUUCUCCACCAAUUUCAAGAAGGUCUGCAAUUUUGACCUCUUCGCUACCUUUCAUUCUCGUUUCUGUAUAUCCGUCCGAGGCAAUAGAGAUAAGGAACAAGAGGACCAUUCCUCUCGAGGACUGUAUCACCAGCGGUUAGUAAUCUCAGUCCUUCGUGUAUCACUAUCUUCUGUAUUUAUUCUCAAUACUUUCAAUAAGUAGAAGAUUCCAAAUCUUGAUUCAGUAAUUGCGUCAUAUUCUUCCAACUCCACUGAAAUGAAAUGGAAGUUUGAUUUGCUAAGAGUGAGUGCGUUGUGAAAUUUAUAGCACUACUAUGAUAAUAUGAUAACAGUUACGAUAGAUCCUCCACAAUGGUAUGAUAUUGUCUAUUUUGAGUCUAAGCUCUCGUAGCUCAGCUUUUGAGUCACCUAUGACUAUACCUUCUAGGCUCACAACUCCUUUGUUCGACAUUUGAGCAUUCUAUUAUCAUGGCUAAAUUAAGUGCAUGACUCUGGUACAAUGUUAGCAAGCAUGAACCCUCUACAAUGGUAUGCUAUUAUCCACUUCAAGCAUAAGCUUUCACGGUUUUAUUUUUGGUUUUCCCCAAGAACUUCAUAUGUGAGGCUACUCCUCUCAAUAAUCCUUACACGGGAGAUCUAGGGAGAUCUAGGAUGUUGGUUGAUAAAAGAAAAAUUAUAUCCAUCGAAAUCUCACAUUUAAUGGUUGGAGUUCUGGAUUAUGAGGAGCAUUUCUAUGUAGCUUUCUUUGAUUCACAUUGGCAAUGACAUUUUGGUUGCCGAAAAUGGACUGAAUUACUAUGAUGUGGAGGAGGGAAAGGGUCCUGUGGCAGGGAAGGGUUCCGCAGUUCAGGCAGCCUGGCGCUACUUUUGAAUUGAACAUCGAGCUUUUGGAAGUGGUGCGGCCGGAAAAAGGAGGGGCCUGACAUAAUUCGAGAGCCAGGUUUUCUAUCCCCACUGAACUAGAAGUUGAGCAUUAGCUGACUGAUUGAUUCUUUUGUUAGGACGAGGAGAAGCACGAGCAGGUACUGGGUAAGGGGGAGUUUUUUUUUUUUUUCAAUGGAACCUUCAGUUCUUUACUUGCUGUUGUUCUAAACAUGAUGAAAUUGUUAAGACCAGUGGUUAGGUAUGGACUCAUUGCGCCCCUCUAAAAUGUAACAAAAGCUCCACUCUUGUUAGUGCCAAACGCACCAAAUUUCUA